rnacentral:lncRNA from 1 species
AUCAGAAUUAGGAAGGCUCUGACACUUUGCCUGAUAGCUCCAAUUGUGAGGAAGUUUAGCAAGGGUGUAAUUUUUUUCUUGUCACUGCAGAAAUUUAGGAAGUUACCAUGCCAGCCAGGCCUGAACCCUUGGCCCAUAGACAAAGAAUGCAAAGAGCUUAACUACCACACCAGCAUGGUACGAGGAGCUCCCUGGUGUGCUUUAAUAUUUAGACCAAACACAAGACAGAUGUAUUCCUGGUGCCUGUGUACCAUUACAACUCAUUGAUCAAAUGCAGCAACAUCAACUUCCCAAGAAGUCCCUUU